rnacentral:lncRNA from 1 species
UUGAGAGGGACGCAAAUGCCCCCUGUAGUUUAUCAGUAACCCAGAGGAAUGUCAGAGGAGCUUCCCUGCAGAGCCAGUGAGUCCUAGAUACCAUGCCCACAAACAGCAACACAGCCAUGCCUUCUGCCCGCCAGCUGGAAGAGACAGUCCCUUCCAUCACUUAAAGGGAGCACCGAGGUAGUUUAAAGAGAGAGAGACGCAAACGCCACCCCCGGGAGGUGCCUAAAGUCCUAUAUCUGGGUCCUUUCUUACCCUUCCAGGCUGACUCCCCCAGCCCCCACCCCCACCCCAGGGAUCCACCUGUCAGUCUUUCCAUGGAGCCUCUGCAGGGAUCAAAAAGCUCAGGCUGGCCUCGAACUUACCAUGA